rnacentral:rRNA from 1 species
GGAGGAAUAUUGGUCAAUGGACGCAAGUCUGAACCAGCCAUGCCGCGUGAAGGAUGAAGGCCUUCUGGGUUGUAAACUUCUUUUACCUGGGAAGAAACCUCCGAUUUCUAUUGGAGUUGACGGUACCAGAGGAAUAAGCACCGGCUAACUCCGUGCCAGCAGCCGCGGUAAUACGGAGGGUGCAAGCGUUAUCCGGAUUUACUGGGUUUAAAGGGUGUGUAGGCGGGCUAUUAAGUCAGUGGUGAAAUCU